GCUUAUUCUCAGGGCGGGGUGCAAUUCCCCACCGGCGGUAAACCUGGCUAAAGUAUUGCACAGGAAGCCCGCGAGCGCUCAGGUUGCAUUGCAGUCUGAGGUCAGCAGAUCCGGUGUAAUUCCGGGGCCGACGGUAAUAGUCCGGAUGGGAGAGAGUAACG
rnacentral:ncRNA from 16 species